UACGUAGGGGGCAAGCGUUGUCCGGAUUCAUUGGGCGUAAAGGGUGCGUAGGCGGCGCGGUAAGUCGGGUGUGAAAUCUCGGAGCUUAACUCCGAAACUGCAUUCGAUACUGCCGUGCUUGAGGACUGGAGAGGAGACUGGAAUUCAUGGUGUAGCAGUGAAAUGCGUAGAGAUCAUGAGGAAGACCAGUGGCGAAGGCGGGUCUCUGGACAGUUCCUGACACUGAGACACGAAGGCCAGGGGAGCAAACGGG
rnacentral:rRNA from 1 species